AUCCUUGCGUUCAGAAGUGGGAUAACGCAGCUAGAAUAGUCCGAUGUUCCUAACGCCUGUUCCCACUAGCCUGCAAUGCCUUUGAUUUAUUCCUUAAAGCAAUAAAAAGUUAUCUAAGAUGUAGAAACUCAUCGGUAAUAGCUAUUAAUUUAAGUAUCAAAUUGAGAGAGAAUGUGUUUGCUAGACAGUGUUAGGGAUAAUAUUAAAAAGGUAACUUUCUCCACAUCUCCUGGGGCUGUUGGAUUUUUUAAAAAAGCAUCUGACAAGAAAAUAAACCCAGCAAACACUCUGAAUCUCACAGUUGCUGCCAUUCGCAGUCAGGACAGCAACUGCGAUCAUUUGGGACCUUCUCUUCCUAAUGUGCCUCCACCUACUCUGCGAGUUUUCCCACACUGCUUCCACCAGUUAUUAUCCUCUGGAGAUCGACCACCCCAUCAUCUCUCCAUAAGCUGUGUUCUUUUCAUACCGGAACGCCCUGUUCCUUGCCACUUGGGUAAAGCAAAUCCAUGGUAAUCUCUUUCCCUUGAGAAGCUCUCCAACACAUUCUCCUUGUCCCUAAGGAUUCAUUCAUGCAUUAAAACUUUUGUGAAAGGAUAAAGAGUUUAAGGGAAUAUAAAACGCCUUCUGCUGUCUUUCAGUAAACUUCCCGUGCUUGGUACAUAAUUACUGCUUGCCCGUGGCCAUUGUGUUCCAAUGCUGUGCGCAUCCUCCAGACAAGGAAGGUAGCUUUUACCUUUGUUUCUCGGGGCCAGGCACAGCAUGCACUUUAUUUUUUUCUUUUUGAAAACAUGUUGGAAACACUUCUUUGAAAGUAGUAUAUACACUUGGGGGGGAAGCUUAACAAAAUGUAACAGUGGUCUGUAUUUUUUGUUUCUUAGGUUUUAUCUUAGUAGUUUUAUUUUCUAAAAAUACUGAAACGACAAAGUUUUAAUCCUGUAAAACUGACAUCAGUAUAUCAUAUGGAUAACUGUUCUAUGGUUCCUUGCUCUAUUAGUCCUAAUUCUGUAAUCACCUGUGACAUUAUCCAGUGAAUAGACCAUUGAGGGAAAUGAACUAUUUGGUUAGAAGAUAAUUAAGUACGCAGUCUCUAGUUCCUUGACUUGAUAUACUUUUCAUUUUGUUAGAAAUUUGAUAGGAAUUUUACUGUAAAACUCAAGGAUUGAUAGCAGCUAUUAUAACUCACAUCCAUGAUUUUCCCCUUUCCCAUGUAAACAUUUCACAGUCUGAACUUCACUGUAAACAGUACUGAACUGUAACUGUAAGAAGCACAAUUAUGAAGUCCCCAACUCCUAUUUUAAAACAGCAACCCGCCUUCAUCUCUAGGCUGGGAUGAAGCGAACAUUUCACUGCAGGGGAAGACAUCUGUUGAAUCUUACGCUGUUUUCUGGAUUCAUUCUUUUAAAGAUUUCUUGAUUUUUAUUUUAUCUUUAUGGAUGUUUUGCCUGGAUGUAUGUCUGUGUAUAGUGUGUGUGCAUUGCCUAUAGAGGCUAGAAGAGGGGGUUGGAUCCCUUGGGACUGGAGUUCAGCUAUUUAGGGUUCAGUCUUCACUGCCUUUAUUGGAAGAGGAACUGAACUCUUAGCUCAGAACAUGUAUUAAUUCAUGAAGGGUAACCCUCCAGGCUUAGCACUGUAGACCACAGGAUGUAAACAUGUCCUGCUCGCCGUGUUUAGAUUAGAUUAGGAAUGAAGCUUGGGGGAAAAAAAAGGAAAAAUAGUAAUGUGCCCAAUUAAAUAGUUGUUUUACAAUUUUUUAUAGUUUCUCUAAGACACCAGAAAAUUACAAUAGAAAAAUUCCUGAAACUAUAACUGUGGUUACAUUGGAACUCCAAGGUUACUCCACGGAGUUUCUUCACAGAUCGAAGAGUGUUUGAGUCAUCUCCUUACAUGGAUUCAGAGCACUCUAAAGGGGAAUUAAACAGCUCUAAGAAGAGUAACUCAACCCCCUGCACUCUUCCAGCCUGAGAGAGAAUGUUGAAGGACGUCCUUGGUAGGCCAAGUUCAUCGGGUCAGAAGAUUGAAGCAGGAUGGUGCUGGGCUGAAAUCCAGGUGUUGGCAGAAGCAUCCAACGUCUCCAAGCACCGCGGCAGCACCUACUUCCUUCCUUGCUUGAUCAGUUUCCAGGUGCCUUCUGAAUUCUUGGCUCCGGCUCCUCCACCGUCUUAAAAGUGCAUCACUGGCCCUCCGCUUCUGCUGGCGCCUCUCGUGUCUGAGUCUGAUUUUCCCGACCCCCCUGCUCCAGGGUCUCUUAUGAUUGCACAAGGCUCACACGGAUAAUUCAGGAUAAUGUCCUCAUCUCAGAAUUCUUAAUUGCAUUUGCUGAAUCCCUUUUACCAGCUUUAUACACUACCAGCUCCUCACUGACCACCUGCUCUGCGGCUGGAGUCCUGUGUCCCAGGAAGGGAGUAGACAACACCUGAGGAAGGUCAGAGAGACGGUUCCACAUGGCAGUCGCAACACGGUCAGCUUCCCAAAAAUGCAUCUCACCUGUUACUCUCAACUCCUGAACUCAUCAGAAGGUGUAGGAC